AGCUCCAAUAGCGUAUAUUAAAGUUGUUGCAGUUAAAAAGCUCGUAGUUGGAUUUCUGGCGUCGCCGCCCGGUCGGCCUCGAAAGGGGUUCGCACUCGUUGGCGCGCGUCGCCAUCCUCGGGGGAAGGCCGCCUGGCAUUAAGUUGUCGGGCGGUCGACGCUCGUCGUUUACUGUGAACAAAUUAGAGUGUUCAAAGCAGGCUUAGGCCGUUGAAUACAUUAGCAUGGAAUAAUGAGAUAGGACUUUGGUGGUCUAUUUUGUUGGUUUGCACGCCGAAGUAAUGAUUAAUAGGGGCGGUUGGGGGUAUUCGUAUUCAAUUGUCAGAGGUGAAAUUCUUGGAUUUAUGGAAGACGAACUACUGCGAAAGCAUUUACCAAGGAUGUUUUCAUUA
rnacentral:rRNA from 1 species